CCUACGGGAGGCAGCAGUGGGGAAUAUUGCACAAUGGGGGAAACCCUGAUGCAGCAACGCCGCGUGAGUGAUGACGGCCUUCGGGUUGUAAAGCUCUGUCUUCAGGGACGAUAAUGACGGUACCUGAGGAGGAAGCCACGGCUAACUACGUGCCAGCAGCCGCGGUAAUACGUAGGUGGCGAGCGUUGUCCGGAUUUACUGGGCGGAAAGGGAGCGUAGGCGGACUUUUAAGUGAGAUGUGAAAUACUCGGGCUCAACUUGAGUGCUGCAUUUCAAACUGGAAGUCUAGAGUGCAGGAGAGGAGAAUGGAAUUCCUAGUGUAGCGGUGGAAUGCGUAGAGAUUAGGAAGAACACCAGUGGCGAAGGCGAUUCUCUGGACUGUAACUGACGCUGAGGCUCGAAAGCGUGGGGAGCGAACAGGAUUAGAUACCCUGGUAGUC
rnacentral:rRNA from 1 species